UCAUAGUGAAGCACAAAAGGUUCCUUGUAGAUGAUAAGGAGUAAAAGGGAAAUCAGUGAAAAUCUGAUGCGGUCCCGCCACUGUAAAUGCUAGUUUCUAGCGGUAUGCCACUGAAUUUUCGGGAAGGCGCUAGAGAUGUAUGAUGCAUAAGCCAGGAGACCUGCCUUUCGUGUAAAGCCAAU
rnacentral:ncRNA from 2 species